UACGGGGGAUGCAAGCGUUAUCCGGAUUUAUUGGGUUUAAAGGGUGCGUAGGCGGUUUGAUAAGUCAGCGGUGAAAUAUUUCAGCUUAACUGAAAGGGUGCCGUUGAUACUGUCAGGCUUGAAUAUGGUUGCUGUGGGUGGAAUGUGUGGUGUAGCGGUGAAAUGCAUGGAUAUCACACAGAAUAUCGAUUGCGAAGGCAGCUCACAAAGCUAAAAUUGACGCUGAUGCACGAAAGUGUGGGGAUCAAACAGGAUUAGAUACCCUGGUAGUCCACACUGUAAACGAUGAUAACUCGCUGUCGGCGAUACAUAGUCGGUGGCCAAGCGAAAGCGAUAAGUUAUCCACCUGGGGAGUACGGCCGCAAGGUUGAA
rnacentral:rRNA from 1 species